AGCGAAGCGGGAAAAGCUCAAAUUUGUAAUCUGGCGCCUUCGGCGUCCGAGUUGUAAUCUCGAGAAAUGUUUUCCGUGUUAGACCGCAUACAAGUCUCUUGGAACAGAGCGUCAUAGUGGUGAGAACCCAGUACACGAUGCGGAUGCCUAAUACUUUGUGAUACAUUUUCGAAGAGUCGAGUUGUUUGGGAAUGCAGCUCAAAUUGGGUGGUAAAUUCCAUCUAAAGCUAAAUAUUGGCGAGAGACCGAUAGCGAACAAGUACCGUGAGGGAAAGAUGAAAAGCACUUUGGAAAGAGAGUUAACAGUACGUGAAAUUGUUGGAAGGGAAACACAUGCAGUCAGACUUGCUAUUCGGGGCAACUCGAUUGGCAGGCCCGCAUCAGUUUUUCGGGGCGGAAAAGCAUAGAGAGAAGGUAGCAGUUUCGGCUGUGUUAUAGCUCUUUAUUGGAUUCGCCCUGGGGGACUGAGGAACGCAGCGUGCUUUUAGCAUGAGCUUCGGCUUAUCCACGCUUAGGAUGCGGGUGUAAUGGCUGUAUAUGAC
rnacentral:rRNA from 1 species